rnacentral:rRNA from 1 species
GACGAACGCUGGCGGCGUGCUUAACACAUGCAAGUCGAACGGAAAGGCCCUGCUUUUGUGGGGUGCUCGAGUGGCGAACGGGUGAGUAACACGUGAGUAACCUGCCCUUGACUUUGGGAUAACUUCAGGAAACUGGGGCUAAUACCGGAUAGGAGCUCCUGCUGCAUGGUGGGGGUUGGAAAGUUUCGGCGGUUGGGGAUGGACUCGCGGCUUAUCAGCUUGUUGGUGGGGUAGUGGCUUACCAAGGCUUUGACGGGUAGCCGGCCUGGGAGGGUGACCGGCCACAUUGGGACUGAGAUACGGCCCAGACUCCUCCGGGAGGCAGCAGUGGGGAAUAUUGCACAAGGGGCGGAAGCCUGAUGCAGCAACGCCGCGUGCGGGAUGACGGCCUUCGGGUUGUAAACCGCUUUCGCCUGUGACGAAGCGUGAGUGACGGUAAUGGGUAAAGAAGCACCGGCUAACUACGUG